rnacentral:rRNA from 1 species
UUGCGCAAUGGGCGAAAGCCUGACGCAGCAACGCCGCGUGCUCGAGGAAGGCCUUCGGGUCGUAAAGAGCUUUUUGGGGCUGAAGAUGAUGACGGUACCUGAAGAAUAAGUCCCGGCUAACUACGUGCCAGCAGCCGCGGUAAAACGUAGGGGACAAGCGUUAUCCGGAUUUAUUGGGCGUAAAGCGCACGUAGGCGGCUUAGUAAGUUGGACGUGAAAGCUCCCGGCUUAACUGGGAGAGGUCGUACAAGACUGCUAGGCUAGAGGCUGGAAGAGGAGCGUGGAAUUCCCGGUGUAGUGGUGGAAUGCGUAGAUAUCGGGAGGAACACCAGUGGCGAAAGCGACGCUCUGGUUCAGCACUGACGCUCAUGUGCGAAAGCGUGGGGAGCGAACGGGAUUAGAUACCCCGGUAGUCCACGCUGUAAACGAUGGAUACUAGGUGUAGGAGGAUAUAAACCCCUUCUGUGCCGAAGCCAACGCGUUAAGUAUCCCGCCUGGGGACUACGGCCGCAAGGUUA